rnacentral:ribozyme from 2 species
UUUUUAAUCAGGCCACACGGUACUAUGUACUCUGUGACGGUCCCCAGCCCGUGUAAACUGAGAGGGAAAA